UGUUACCUUUUGUAUCUAAAUCAUAUGGAACAUUCUUUUUACCAAAAAAAAAAGAAAGAAAGAAAGAAAGAAAUUUUUUAUCUGCUGUACUAGGAAAUUUGGGCUAUUCUGAUCACCCUGUCAAGCUUUUCAUUGACUAUUUAGUGUCACACAUACUACUUAUAGUGCUUUUCGAAUAAUAUAACUUUAAUAUUCUUGGCCUAAUUAUGGCUGUGAAGUUGAUAUGGGCUUGAGGAUGGUUAUAGAUUGUUGCUUUUUUGUCUUUCUGUUGAUUCUGUUGCUCGAGUAUUUGGUGGAUUAUUUGCUAUCUUCUCCACUGGCCUGCUUUCUGUCUUGAAAGUUUUCGAGUAGUCCUGAUUGCAUGCGUAGCGAUAAUAGAUUCAAAGGUUGCUGUGGAAAAGUGUGCUAUAAAAAAAGUGUCGUUGUUUAUCAAUGCUUUUUUUCUUGAAUAAUUUCAUUUUUUAAAAUAAAUAAAUAUGCUAUUCAUCGCUGAUUCUUCACCAUCCCUUGUAAAUGGAUACAUAGUCAAAUAUAACACUAGAGUUACUGAGGGAGUCCAAUACUCGACUAAUACCCUGCAACUACAUCUGUAGCCAAUGUAUCUAAAAUCAAAUCUGGCUUACUUCCUUGUGAACAAGAUGCCAGGAGAUAGCCAGCCACUGAGUUAGGUCAUUCAAGACACUAAUCUCCAGUCCUCGGAAGCCACAAGUCCCUAUCUGAUAACAUUCAUCAAUUCCCCUUGCUCAAUACAAGGACAUGUGCGUACCGCAUAAUUAAUAACUGGUUCUAAUAGGACCUGGAACAGAACUUUUCACUGUCAUCAACCAAAAAUACAAAAAUGAGUAAUGUCGUUCCAGACAUGCCAGAAUCAUCCUUGACGGGUCUUGCUUAUUGCCAGAUUAUUAAUUCAAGGUUCGCAGAUGUGCAAUGAGUAUGCUCCUGCAUUUUGGUGUUUAUACGUGAACCCCAGAACCAAAAUUUUACACAGAUACCUAGACAAGUAUCUUAUUUCAACUAUCAAUUUCAAAUGGAGCCUUGUCUCUGUAAUUGUUUCUUCUGAAGUUGCAAUUCUAAUACUCAAUCUUGGUUUGGCUAAUGUUUAAGACACUGGUUCUAGAGCCUUCCUCUAAAACUCCAAUUUAGCAUUUGCCUCCUUGGUCUUGUCUACCAACACCACGUCAUCUACAAAAAACAUACACGCAGGGACCCCAUCUUGGAAACUAGUGGUUUAUUUAUCUAUAACAAUUGCAAAAAAGUAAUGGUUUAAUGCACCCUUGAUGAAGAGCUACUCCUACUAGGAACUCGUCAUACUCGUGAGCAUUCUCGCUCUUGUAAUAGCCCUGGCCUCAUAUAUGUCUUUAAUGAUGUUGAUUUAUCUUCUUUUAACCCCUUUCCUCCUCAUCACCUCACCACAUAGCCUCCUUAGGUACUCUAGUCUAGAUAUGCUUUCUUUAGAUCCAUAACAUUAUAUAUGCAUUCUUAGUUUUGUCUAUAAAGAUCAUAUGACAAAUAUACUUCUCAAGAAAAAGUUUCCAUUGAGAAAGAUUGAGAAAGAAACUAAACUGCAUCCCAUGCUACUAUGAGGAAUUGUAAGGCUGUGGUGCAUCUGGACACUGUAGUGUCCUAGUGUACCUGUGCAAGUUCGAUGAUGCAGAUCAUUGAUCUGAUGGUCCUGAGUGGUCUACAAAUAGCUGGUUAGGAAGAGAGAGAGAGAGAGAGAGAGAGAGAGAGAGAGAGAGAGAGAGAGAGACUGCAGUAGGUCUGGAAAAAGACCAAUGAUUGAAUGGAUGAGAUCUUUAAGUCUGGAAGACACAUAGGGCUUCCCCCUAUUCACGGUGGGGCCUAUUACAUAAAUGGUAUGUGAUGCAAGACAAUUAACCACUUGCUCUAAAUGCUCGAACUGAUAGAGCAUGGCGAAUGAAUCCCUUUAUCUCAUAACCCAGGCCCUAAAUCCAUGGGUUAGGUCCUCGGCCGAACCCUCCUCAUGGGCCCCAAAUCCAUGGGUUCCGUCCCCUCGUGGGCCCCAAAUCCAUGGGUUAUGCAUGCCAUUCCACCCCGAGUGUGCCCAUGCAUCCCACAGGCCACCCCACUCGAGCCCGGUGUGAAAAUGCCCCUGCAUUAGUAUGUAUCGCCAAAAGAUACGUGCCACUUUUACUGAAUUGUUUCAUCAUGGUGUGGAUCACCAAAAGCUAUGCUCUGCUUUUACUGAAUUGUUUCAUCAUGGUGUGGAUCACCAAAAGCUAUGCUCUGCUUUUACUGAAUUGGUGCAUCAGGAUACUACACAUCCUGAUGCAUUAGGGCCCCAUAGUCGUCAUUAUCUUUAUGACAGAAGCCAAGCUGUUAUUUUUCAUCAAUAAAUGAGUUUGCAUGUGUUCAGCAAGGAGAUUUUCUUUUUCUUUUUUGGUUUUAUGGUGGAUGCCACCACCAGAAUUUUAUUGAUUUGAAAUAAAAAAGAUUGCAGCCUAAGAGGGGGGGACCUAACAUUACCUCUCAGCCCAUAAGAAUGCAAAGAUCACAACCCACCCUAAAACAUAUCAUUUCUUAGCUACAAUGUGAAAAAUUCCCAUUCCAUCAUUAAAAAAAAUAAUAAUAAAUAAAAUCAGCCCUGUUUCCCUGCAUAUCUGGCCUUUGGAAGGAGAUUAGACAGCUUCAAGAAAAGGUCUUGUUCCAUGUAACUAAAAAACUUGCCAGAGCAUCAACAAUAUGGUUACUUCCUAUAGACGUGAAUAAGUUUAGCCCUCCCACCCACACAGGAUCCUUGCACAUCAGACCGCCAAUACCAAACAUUACAAGGCGGAAUACUCCCAUUAGAGUUCAUAUCAAACACCAUCUUGGAGUUGCUUCCAACAGUUGAACCCGUGAAAUUGCAAUCUUUUUCCUAUACAGAAAUGCAGCCCGUCGAAUAAAACUCUUAUUUCAACCAUAGUUUAGUGCAGUCCCCACAAAAUCGAGCGAAGGCAAAAGUAAAAUCACCUUGAUCAUUUCCAAUAAUUCCUCCACUAACCGCUAUUACCUUAGCAGGCCCCACCAGGGGGCUGUAACCAUUUUCUCAAACUUAUUUUCCCAACUCUAAAUGGUUUAAUUGCAGCCUUCUUUAUUGAAAAGAAUGCAAUUUUCAGGGGAAAAAAAAACCCUUUCCUAUCAAUAUCAUGCAUCCAGGAGAUGAACAUUUAAUGACUAAUUUCAAGGAGCGAACUGUACCUCAUAUGCUUUCGUGGGUUACAUUCCUUCCAAAUCUCCAAAGAGAUUAGAGAUGGCAAUGUGACAAUAAUCGGGUUCCAGUCCUUGCCCGAGUGGUAGACUCUGAGGAGUUUCAUCACUAGGUCUUGGGUUCAAAACCCAUAUGUGGUGAAAUCCCACUAUGGCGUGCGUGGGUGUGUGGCGGGUGCGUGUGUAAAAAAAAAUAAAAA